GAUGAACGCUGGCGGCGUGCCUAAUACAUGCAAGUCGAGCGAACAGACGAGGAACUUGCUCCUCUUACGUUAGCGGCUGACGGGUUAGUAACACGUGGAUAACCUACCUAUAAGACUGGGAUAACUUCGGGAAACCGGAGCUAAUACAGGAUAAUAUAUUGAACCGCAUGGUUCAAUAGUGAAAGACGGUUUUGCUGUCACUUAUAGAUGGAUACGCGCCGCAUUAGCUAGUUGGUAAGGUAACGGCUUACCAAGGCAACGAUGCGUAGCCGACCUGAGAGGGUGAUCGGCCAGACUGGAACUGAGACAAGGUCCCGACUCCUACGGGAGGCAGCAGUAGGGAAUCUUACGCAAUGGGCGAAAGGCUGACGGAGCAACGCCGCGUGAGUGAUGAAGGUCUUCGGAUCGUAAAACUCUGUUAUUAGGGAAGAACAAAUGUGUAAGUAACUAUGCACGUAUUGACGGUACCUAAUGAGAAAGCCACGGCUAACUACGUG
rnacentral:rRNA from 1 species